rnacentral:rRNA from 1 species
AUUGAACGCUGGCGGCAUGCCUUACACAUGCAAGUCGAACGGCAGCACGGGUGCUUGCACCUGGUGGCGAGUGGCGAACGGGUGAGUAAUACAUCGGAACAUGUCCUGUAGUGGGGGAUAGCCCGGCGAAAGCCGGAUUAAUACCGCAUACGAUCUACGGAUGAAAGCGGGGGACCUUCGGGCCUCGCGCUAUAGGGUUGGCCGAUGGCUGAUUAGCUAGUUGGUGGGGUAAAGGCCUACCAAGGCGACGAUCAGUAGCUGGUCUGAGAGGACGACCAGCCACACUGGGACUGAGACACGGCCCAGACUCCUACGGGAGGCAGCAGUGGGGAAUUUUGGACAAUGGGCGAAAGCCUGAUCCAGCAAUGCCGCGUGUGUGAAGAAGGCCUUCGGGUUGUAAAGCACUUUUGUCCGGAAAGAAAUCCUUGGCUCUAAUACAGUCGGGGGAUGACGGUACCGGAAGAAUAAACACCGGCUAACUACGUG